UGCACACAUGCAGUGUUGAUAGGCUUAUAUCAGGUUGCUCACAGUUGGACAAGCUGUUUUUGGGAUUAGGAUUUCUGGAUUGGAAGAGGCCUAAGAGAUCACCACAUUUACAAAUGAGGACAACAAAGUUUGGCAAUGUAUAGUGCUCCAUGGCUGCAUAUCUAUGGGUAAUUUGGUUUCGCUGUGUUCAGGGAGGCUGGCUUAAGAGUAUGCACUUGACAUCUUGCCAGGACGCUGAAUUUUGAAGUGUAUUAGAAGGUAUCUCCAAGGGGAAGUCAACUUUCAAGACUAAAAGUGGCCUGCACUGAGUCCACCAAGUCUCAGCCUUUCGAUUUCCAGGCUCUUCACAUCUCUUAAUGAGGAGUUGCACACCACAACCCAGCUUGGGUGGGCCCCAGAGACGUUUUCCCUGGAGAAGAAAUUGGAGAGAGUUUCAUGCUGACUCUGCAACAGGAUGAGAGAAGGAAUUAGCAUUUAUUGAGCUCCCGCUGUGUGCUCUUCUGCGCCAGAUGCUUUUGCUGAACACCGCAAAAUCUCUGGAAGGUAAAUGAAGAAUUGAAAGCUCUGGAUAAAGAAGCCAAGGGUGGAGCUGGAUUCUGGGGCCAAGUCUGUUCACUCCAAGCUCAAGUUCUUCCUGUGUAUAUCCACUGCAGAAAGAACAGACUUCUUAGUGGCUUAGCUGCCUGUGUGAUAUCUCUUGGGAGAUACAGUGGAAGUGCAAUGGGACAGGACAGGAAACAUUCUUACUAUUUCUGUUCUUAGGUAGGCAUAAUCAACUGAUGUUCACAAACUCAAAUGCCUUUGGUGGCUUGGUGAGAUGUGUAAAUGUGAGUGAAGUAUGGUGAAUAGGGAGUUGGGGGGACAGAUCUAUAAUGGAACCAGGGCACAGACGUCCCAUCAGAAGACAUCAGCAUUCACAUUUUAAAACACAUUGUUGGCCAAACCAAACAUUUCUGUGAACCAGGGCCAAGGACUGCCAUUUCAGGACUGCUAAUUCAGAUGCCCCUUUAAGUGUCAAAGGCAUUGUGUAAUGUUGGAUUUCUUCAUUUUUUUUAAAGGAGAAUAAAUUUGUUACCUACACAAAU